GAUGAACGCUGGCGGCGUGCCUAAUACAUGCCAGUCGAGCGAACAGAUGAGGAUCUUGCUCCUCUGACGUUAGCGGCGGACGGGUGAGUAACACGUGGAUAGCCUACCUAUAAGACUGGUAUAACUUCGGGAAACCGGAGCUAAUACCGGAUAAUAUAUUGAACCGCAUGGUUCAAUAGUGAAAGACGGUUUUGCUGUCACUUAUAGAUGGUUCCGCGCCGCAUUAGCUAGUUGUUAAGGUAACGGCUUACCAAGGCAACGAUGCGUAGCCGACCUGAGAGGGUGAUCGGCAACACUGGAACUGAGACACGGACCAGAGUCCUACGGGAGGAAGCAGUAGGGAAUCUUCCGCAAUGGGCGAAAGCCUGACGGAGCAACGCCGCGUGAGUGAUGAAGGUCUUCGGAUCGUAAAACACUGUUAUUAGGGAAGAACAAAUGUGUAAGUAACUAUGCACGUCGUGACGGUACCUAAUCAGAAAGCCACGGCUAACUACGUG
rnacentral:rRNA from 1 species